CGAAUGAAGUUCCUUCGGGAACGGAUUUAGCGGCGGACGGGUGAGUAACACGUGGGCAACCUGCCUCAUACAGGGGGAUAGCAGUUGGAAACGACUGCUAAUACCGCAUAAGCCCACGGCUCGGCAUCGAGCAGAGGGAAAAGGAGCAAUCCGCUUUGAGAUGGCCUCGCGUCCGAUUAGCUAGUUGGUGAGGUAACGGCCCACCAAGGCGACGAUUGGUAGCCGGACUGAGAGGUUGAACGGCCACAUUGGGACUGAGACACGGCCCAGACUCC
rnacentral:rRNA from 1 species